GUGGGUUCUACCAAAGGAGCUGCUCUACCCAUCCUGGACUGCUUCUAUCUGGAUGUUGGGUGGAACAUCUUUUGAAGAGCUCAGACCCUGGACCCCUGAUCUUAAUGAGCUUUGCAGCCUUCAGUAAGUCGCCAACAUAUAUCUGUACCUCUGAGCUCAACCAACCUUAAGUAAUGUGUGGAGUGCUAGAGUACACCCUUGCAGGAGUCUCUCGGACCCACGCCAGAUCUGAAUCUUGUCUUGGCCAGUUUUCUCUAUGGGUGAACCCUCCCAGCUUUCAGACCAACUGUGACCUCAGUUUGGAAAGUGGUGAGAAUCACUGGUCCCACCUCAUGGGGCAUGACAUAGAUUGCAUUGGUCAAUCUAUCUAUAGCCCCAGACAUUGGGGAGCACUCAGAAGAUGGGGCUUUCCAUUGUCCAAGCUAGUCCUGAACAACAAAGGGCUACCUGGGGAUGCAGAGUAAGAAGUCAACUGAAGCAAGACUGAGAUCACUUAGUAACUCCAAGCUGAAGAGUGGGCAAAGACCUCUGUUUCUUUUUUUUUUUUUUUUUUUUCCGAGAUGGAGUUUCGCUCUUGUUGCCCAGGCUGGAGUGUAGUGGCAU
rnacentral:lncRNA from 10 species